GAAUCAUGUGUUCAGAAGGAAAAUGAUCAGUUCCAUGGGGUUAUUGUCUUUGGGUAAAUAUACACAUGUGCUUUGUUCAGUCUGCAUAUAGAAAGGAAAUAUCUGUUAACAAGGGAUGACAGUCACUCCAAAUGGAUUAUGAUAUAAGUAAAGAUGAUUUCAUUGUGUGUUUUUGUUUCAAUACAAAAUUUGCAACAUUGGGAUAUUGAAGUUUGCGAGAGGUUAUGUUGUUAAAUUAUCUGUAACUCGUCUGAGAGAUCACCAGUAGAAUAAGGGAGUUAUCAUGGAAGGUGAUGUCAGAAUGCAUGGGAGAGAUAUUUUUACAACAAGUGUGUGUGAAGCUCUAACUCUCCCUAACCAGCGGAAGAGUGAGGGACAACUGCGUCUGAUGACCUGUGAACUGUAUCUGAAAUAGACAUGCUGGAAUGAUAUGUGCUGGAGGAGGAAGACUAAAAGGGGAAUAGGUUACUGACCUUUCAUUACCAGGCCUCUCAUGACAGAAAAACAGAGGCAAAUGGGGGCUGUAAUAUGAAUAGAUAGUACUGGUAUUACAAGUUUAGUAUAAAUGUAAAUUUUUAAGGGAAUGAAGCACUAAGGACUGAAUUCUGAUUUGGGUUGGACAAUUUAUAAAACGUUUUAGUUAUGAUUUGGACAUAGAACUGUUUAAAUUUACUAGGCCUAGGGAAGCUCUGGAAACUAAAUCCUGAGACAGGGAGGUUGACAGAACUUACAGAAGAUUAAAGGUUUUUGUUUCUUUUGUUUUAUUAUGUCAUUAGAAAUUUAAUGUUAAAUUGUAUUGAUAUAAUUGAUUGCAUAAAAAGUUUAUAGUCUGUUUUGCGAUACACACAAGGAUGAAGGAGGAGACCAACAUUAUGAGUAGUGGUCAUAGAAUGUAACGGAUGGACGUUUUCCCCAGGUUUAGUUACAUUAUGAGUAGUGGUCACUUAUUACAAAUAUGCAGUUAUUGUAAUUUAUUUUGCUCUUUUCUUGUCUGGUCAAUUUAUUUUUGUUUUAAGGAACAUAAGUGUGUUUAUUGUUCCUGAGGAGGGAAUUAUAUAAAUUGACUAAAAUUGAUUUGAGAAUGUUUAAGUAUGUAUCAAACUGUGGAAGGAAAUUAGUAGUAAAUGAUGUGUUAUGGGUUAGAAGAACUAUGACUGCAUUGGGGAUCUGAGGGGGCUCAUAAAUUAAGGUUAUGGUAGUAGAGGGGUGUUAUUUCUAGAGACUAUGUAUAUUAAUAGAAGAGAGAACUCACAGAAGAGAAAGGACAGCUGGCUGUGUAAAAUAUAGGGAUGCACAACAUAGGGACAAUUCUGAGUAAAUUGAACAUUACACAUACCUAGAUUAUGGUAAGAGUAAAAGUGAUAGUGGUGACAUUUAACACUAUGGUAAAAGUUUAAGAGAGUUAUGACUUGGAGUUUUAAGAGGUUGGAUAUUCUUCCAACUAGAAGACACUUGACUGAUUACAUGUUAUUCUAACAGCAGUUGCUGUAGGGACCAUAAUUUGGCUAUCAUUAUGUAUAAGAAUAUCUGUGGUAGGAGGCGAGGUAUUUGAGACAAUGUUUAAAUAGGGCUGUUAUUUAAAUAUUACAAAGUAGUGAUCUUGACAUGAGAAGAAAGUCUGUUGUCAGGAAAUAACCCAUGUGUUAGUGUGUAUGUCCUCAGGAGAAAAGCAACACAUAAGAAGCCAGAAAUAACCAAGGGCAUGGGCUGACUUCUAGAGAUUGAGUGUACAUCAAGAUACACCAGGCUGGGGGUAUACUUCUUACAGCACCUGCAGUGGUAAAGAUCAUCAUGUCUCUCUUCGGUGGGCGCAUAAUUCUCACAAGAAGUAAGGUCCAGCUGAAUAAUGGUCUUAUGCUUAGGAACCAGAAGGAGAGGGGUCGCCAGCUUCAGCUGGAAUGUUAGUUGGUGUAUGAUAAGUGAUGGAAAUAAGUGGAUGUAUGGUGUGAUCAUAAAACAGAGGCCAUAAGUCUCUAAGUUUGAAUGCCUCACAGAAAGAAGGCAGAAACCUGAACCAGGACCAGAGGUUCCACGUCUGGUGAUCCAAGAGACCAGGUCUGAGUGUUCCAGAAGAAAGGAAUGAGCCAAGGAGGGAGGGUCCCUACAAGGUGGCUCGAACAAUGUUAACUGCUGUCCAGGUGAAAGGAAGCAACACGUGGUACCAUCUAAACCACUGUACCAAAGUCCCGUCAGAAAGGAGGGGACAACCACCAGGCCAGGCAGGAGCCAGGCAGGAGCCAGGCAGGAGCCAGGCAGGAGCCAGGCAGGAGCCAGGCAGGAGCCAGGCAGAAGACAGGCAGGAGACGAAGAGGAGGUGGAUCGAGGAGCAACUUUCAAGAGCCAACAGACACUCUCUCCUGAAUAUCCAGAGAGUCCAGGGAUGGGGAGGAGUGACAUGCCUGUUGCUCCUGAUGACAUACCUACUCUGGCAGAUACCCCUGAUAGAGGUGUUGUUCAAGGGGACGGAGAAACAACGACAGGAGAAUGGAAAGGAGACUUUCUUAUCAACUUCUCUGUCCUCACAUGGUCUUUUUAACAGACAGUGAAACAGGAUAGAUGAAGAAUGGUAGAAUGGUCUUGACAGCAACAGCAACAAACCUAGAAGAAAUUGUAAAAUUACCUCCCACUAGAGACUAGUACACAAACUAAGACAAUAGAAAAACCAUAAGAAAGUGGGUUGAUGCAGAAAUCUGGACAUCUGUUACCAACUGGGGUAGCUACAAUGAAGAAACUACCCAAGAAUCAAACAUUGAUCAAAAAUUUAGAAAAGCAAUAACAAAUGGCUUGUAUAGGUGGGCUCAGUAAGAAGCAACUAAACAUAGGAUGGACAAUUGCAUUUUGUCUAGCAAAUCACAUUUGUCUGAUAUUUUAAUAAUACCUGAACUUGCAUCUGUUGAAGAAUGUGUUAAAUGGAAAAUGUUCAAUGUAUUCAGAGUCAAUACUACAUACCUUUGUGUAACAUAGAAUGCAGAUUGGCAUUAGGUAGCACUAAAGGUAGAAGUGAAUUAAACCAAAAUAUGUUG